rnacentral:rRNA from 1 species
AUGGCCAUCGAGGACCACCCACCAGAACCCACUCGUAUUCCGGCUGAGGAGUGGAAGCAAACAGCAAAUGAGUUCACAUCUUGUGUGUGGGAAUCAAAGUUCCAUAGGUUCCCUGCGAGCCUACGGGAUCUAGGCGAGCGGUACAUAGAGCCGAUGGUGGUGGCAAUCGGCCCUUACCACCACGGCAUUCCCAAGCUCGAGGAGAUGGAGAAGUUGAAGAUGGUGGCUGCACACUGUUUCAUUGAGGACUCGGGUCACUCGCCCGAGGAGAUCUACGGUGCCGUCUCCGCCGUCGCGGGGAUGGCCCGCGGCCUCUACGUCGGCGAUGAGGUGGCAGAUCCGUCGUUGCAGCGUGCGCUCAUCUGCAACCGAGUUUGCAUCGAGAACGACAUCAUGCUGCUGGAGAACCAGAUCCCUUGGUCCGUAGUGGAUAUACUCAACGGGCUCAGUGGUGCUCCUGCUCCGGUGGACAAGUUCAUCUCUAUCAUGGGAAGCAUGUUCCAGAUCGGGCAACGGGGGAGCGUUGGAAUUGGAUCAUUUUUAACUCUUUUAAGUACUGGUUGCAACCCGCCACAUCUCCUUGCCCUCUUCCGGAUGGAGAAAGUGGGGCCAGUCCAUAGAUCCUAUGUAGAGCUCCCAUCCACCUUGCCGUUCACGAUACGUGCCACCGAUCUCGCCCGGAUGUCCAUCAGGAUCAAGCCCUGCAUGACGCCAUAUUUCUGUGACAUGGGCAUCUGGAUAGCGAAGAUCUUCAGCUAUCUCUUCCUUCCGCCGCUGUUCCUCGACGAAACGAGGGCGUGCUGGCUCGUAAACAUGGCCGCCCUCGAGGUCUGCACAGCCUCCAACGACAGGGAGGAUAUCAGGAAGUUACAUACCGCCGUGUGCUCGUACCUCGCCCUCCUGGCGAUGCUCAUGAACCGGGAGGAGGACGUGGAGGAGCUGCAUAAGAAGCAGAUAUUGCAAGCAAAUCUGACCGACAAGGAGACGCUAGAUUUCUUCAAGAACCUUGUGAAGCGCCUAGACGGCGGCCCGGUCUACAACUCCAUCGUGGCGGAGAUUCAGCAGUACAAGGAGACGACGAGCUGGAUCAAGGUCUACGGCUUCAUCCAAGACAACACAAAAAUCAUCCUCACGAUGCUGCCCAUCAUUGGCUUUCUUGCUGGUAUCUUGAGGACGCUCCUCUCUCUGAACUCACGCCAGCAGUAUAACUAG